UAGUUUGAUUCUUGUUAAUUGUAUUUACUUUCAAAUUGUUUUAUAUGUAAGUUUUUACGUGGAAUUUUGAUUAAAUAUUCUUAAUGAUUAUUUAAUUUAAUUUUUAUUCGCAGUAAAUAGUUUUAUUAAUUAAUGAAAGUUUGAUUUGGUAAUUUUGAUUAAAUAUUGGUGAAAUUUGUGCCAGCAUCCGCGGUUAUACAAUGAAUGUAAGUAAAUGUUUAUUGGUUAAAAUAGUUAAUUUUUUUAUUCGAGUUUAUUUUUAAUAUUUUUGGGUGAAAUUUUAAUUUUUAUUAUAACUUAAUUAAUUUGAAGCUAUUAAAUCUUUAAUUUAAACUAGGAUUAGAUACCCUAUUAUUUAUGAUGUAAAUUAUAUAACCUAGGUAGUAUUAGUUAAGGUCUUGAAACUUAAAGAAUUUGGCGGUAUUAUAGUCUAUUUAGAGGAAUCUGUCUCUUAAUUGAUAGUCCGCAUUGUACCUUACCAAGUAUCAUUGUAUGUAUACCGCCGUUAAUAUUGAGAAUCUUUUGUAGAGUUAAUUAAUUUUCUUUGUUUAUUUUAUAAAAUAUUUCAGGUCAAGGUGCAGCUUAUUAUUUGGUGAAGAUGGAUUACAUUUAAAUUUAUUAUUUGGAAUAUUUGUUGAAAUUGUGAAUAUGAAAUUGGAUUUGAUUGUAAUUUUUUGAAGAUUGUAAAUAUGAUUAUUGGCUCUAUAAUAUGUACACAUCGCCCGUCACUCUCAUUAAUGAUUUAGUUGAGAUAAGUCGUAACAUAGUGGUUGUACCGGAAGGUGUGGCUGGAAUGAUAAAUAAUA
rnacentral:ncRNA from 1 species